UGUAUAACUACAGUAGUUUAUUUUAGAGUAGGUAAAACGAAAAACCAAAACCGAACUCAAGUACUUAAAAAUUCGCGUUUUCUUAAAUUUUUUUUUGUUAUUCCCAGCGCUUUUGUAGAGUAACUAGGUACUGUUCAUUUCGACAUCCCCUAUGCACCUACUAGAUUCACUUACCGGAAAAGAUGAAAAGCGGAGCAUUGUUUCGAAUACUUAUCGUGUACACUGACACAAAUAAUAAAAAUUUAUUAAGCAGAACGUACAUUUUGUCAUUAGUAUCGAUAUAGGUCGAUUCACUCUAAUUUUUAAACUAAUUAUGCUAAAUGUGAUCGUAAAUUUGCUAUAUAUAAGACGGACACAAUAAAAUGCCCGUGUUACGUGUUAAAUCGUGGAGCUGCAUCGUUCACGAAUUUUCAAAAUUUUAAUGCCCGCGAUUCUGUCUUAUCACUAUGUACCAUUAAAUAGUAAUAACUGUUAUCAAAUAAAUAACAACAUAAUAUUAUUAUUUUUUCGUAUGCCGACUUUAAAUUUGAAUCACUCACGAAUCUCGAUUAUUUGAAAUUUGAACAAAAAUACAGACUACAGAACAGUCGUAAAGAGUUCUAUUCAUACAUUUUAGUACAAAACCAUCAUGGACAAGUGUGUUCUUUUCAGUAAAACAUUCAAUGUAUCGCCUCGCCACACAUCACGUUAAUCUUCAUUUUCUAAUUUGUUCACAAAUAUAGAUUUCCAAAAAAUCAAUGAAAUAGAAGGAAAUAAUGGCUAAAAAUGAUUAUCCCAAUUUCUACCUGGCAUAGAAUCUGCGGUAAUCAUUUCACAAUGAUUAGUGGUUGCAAACAAUGCUCAGUAAAUGAGUAAACAUGGUCAGAGGCUGUCUCAAAACAUAAUCCAAACCACUUGUCUGGGAUAGAGAAGUAAAAUAAAUGUUAGUGAUUCACGGCAACAUUGGCACGACUAGUAAAUCGCAUCUAAGAGAAAAUUUUGUUUCUCCAACGAUGUGUUAGGAGAAAAUGAACAGACUAAUAAAGGAUUUUUCGAGUCCGUACAGUUGAUGAUUUUAAUUCACACCUAGAAAAGCCUUAGAUACCUAAUAAUGUCUAAUUCACACAUAAUUAUCUCAUACAAUGGAUUAUGAUUAUUAUGGUUAUCAAAACUGAAAUAUAUGAUAUACCACAUACAAGGAGCUAGGUAGUGGAGCCAAUGUAUUGACAAUUUUUCAGACGUUGACUUUCUUGAAGAUAAUUCUAUUGACCCAGAUGAAGCCAUACCUUAUUGGAGCGAAUUAUAAAACUGAAAGGUAAUACAAUUUUGCUGACCAAGAAUCCAAUUUUAACAACGCAGAGGGCCUCAACAUAUUCCAAUAGCAAAGAAACACAUAACCAGUUUGGACAUUGGUAUCUUUUCUGCAGGGAAAGUGCAUCUAGUUGGAUGCGUUAAACAGAUCGGCAAACCCGUUCUCAUUACCAACCAAGAAAGACAAACUUGUUUGAAAAAUAGUAUGCAAUUACCAAAAUGCUUCAGUGGCUGUUAUUAAAAUUCUUCAACUAUCAACAAUAGACAUAAUUGAUGAAGAUGUUAGGUAUAUUCUGAUUGGUACCUAUUUCCUUUAAUUUGUGUACUAAUUUUUUCCCCCACCACACAUCAGAAAGUAAUUAGUUACUCAACCAAAAAAAAAACUAUAUUUAUGCACUCUGGAGUUAUGUUUGUGAAUAAAAUUAUCUUGUUAAUGACUAAU